rnacentral:misc_RNA from 1 species
GAAAUGCGAUAAGUAAUGUGAAUUGCAGAAUUCAGUGAAUCAUCGAAUCUUUGAACGCACCUUGCGCCUCUUGGUAUUCCGAGAGGCAUGCCUGUUUGAGUGUCAUUUAAUUCUCAACCUCAAAAGCUUUUUGUUUCUGAGGCUUGGAUGUGGAGGCUUUUGCUGGCUUGCUCAGAGUCGGCUCCUCUCAAAUGCAUUAGUGGAAACUGUUUGUAGUCCGCAUUGGUGUGAUAAUUAUCGGCGCCAUUGUAUUUGUGGCUACAGCUCUUGUAGGUGUUCCUGCGAGGGUAGCAUAGUGUUCGCUUCAAACCGUCCUAAGUCGCUGGACAACCCUUGACUAUUUUGACCUCAAAUCAGGUAGGACUACCCGCUGAACUUAA